rnacentral:tRNA from 1 species
GAGAGAGGCCUGUGGCACAAGGGACUGCUAAUCUCUUCCUCCACAGUUAAAAUCUGUGGCUCACUCG